rnacentral:rRNA from 1 species
GAUGAACGCUGGCGGCGUGCCUAAUACAUGCAAGUCGAGCGAACAGACGAGGAGCUUGCUCCUCUGACGUUAGCGGCGGACGGGUGAGUAACACGUGGAUAACCUACCUAUAAGACUGGGAUAACUUCGGGAAACCGGAGCUAAUACCGGAUAAUAUAUUGAACCGCAUGGUUCAAUAGUGAAAGACGGUUUUGCUGUCACUUAUAGAUGGAUCCGCGCCGCAUUAGCUAGUUGGUAAGGUAACGGCUUACCAAGGCAACGAUGCGUAGCCGACCUGAGAGGGGGAUCGGCCACACUGGAACUGAGACACGGUCCAGACUCCUACGGGAGGCAGCAGUAGGGAAGCUUCCGCAAUGGGCGAAAGCUUGACGGAGCAACGCCGCGUGAGUGAUGAAGGUCUUCGGAUCGUAAAACUCUGUUAUUAGGGAAGAACAAAUGUGUAAGUAACUAUGCACGUCUUGACGGUACCUAAUCAGAAAGCCACGGCUAACUACGUG